rnacentral:rRNA from 1 species
UGGGGAAUCUUGGACAAUGGGGGCAACCCUGAUCCAGCGACGCCGCGUGGGUGGUAAGGCCUUCGGGUUGUAAAGCCCUUUCACCGGGGAAGAUGAUGACAUUACCCGGCGAAGAAGCGCCGCCUUACUCCGUGCCAGCAGCCGCGGUAAGACGCAGGGCGCCAGCGUUGUUCGGAAUCACUGGGCGUAAAGGGCGCGUAGGCGGCUGUUUAAGUCGAGGGUGAAAGCCCGGGGCUCAACCCCGGAACGGCCUUCGAGACUGGGCAGCUCGAGACCGGAAGAGGAGGGUGGAAUACCCAGUGUAGAGGUGAAAUUCGUAGAUAUUGGGUGGAACACCAGUGGCGAAAGCGGCUCUCNGGUCCGGNNNUGACGCUGAGGCGCGAAAGCGUGGGGAGCAAACAGGAUUAGAUACCCGCGUAGUCC